rnacentral:lncRNA from 1 species
UUAUUAUUUGCUGUUAGGUCAGCUUCUUCCAGCAGGAAUCUGGAAUCAGAGCUCCACAACCAUCUGGAAUCGAUCAGUGUCACUGUGAGAAGUUACCAGCAGCACUUGGAGCAAGCUUUAGGAAAAUUAAGGGAUUCAAACGUGGGUUUUCUCAAAAGUUGCAGAUUAUUUUCAGAGAGUGGUGACUUUGCAUCUGAGGAGGUAAAGUUUUUCAACGAGUGUCUUCAGGAAGAAAGUAAGCAAAUUGACUCCUUUGAAAGCUCAAUCAAGACAGAUGUGGAGAAAAUAAAAUCGAGCUGCUUGGAGCAGGCUACUGAACUUUUCAAGCAGUCUGGAAAAAAGUUUACUUCUCUGUCUCUGAGUCUAGCCUUUAUGGAGAAGGUUCAUCAAUAUUUGAGAAAGCUACGACAGCAAAUCAAAUCAGAGGUAGCGAAUUCCAAUUUGCAGUCAGUCACAUUAAAGUCUUACCUGGAAAAGCUCCAGCAGAAGAGAGAUGCUUAUGUUCAUUCUACUGCAGAUAAAGAAGUAACUUCUAAUCAGCAUCACAUGGCUUUAACUUCUGAAGAGUUGUAUGCUUUUGCCAAAGAGGUGUUGGAAGAGCUGAAAAAGAGGAGCAAGUAUCUUGACUGCUUUGUAGUAAAACCAAAGGUGCCACGUGCCACUGAGGCCUUCACCACUCCUGACACGAAUGGGAAGUUACAAGAUUUCAUUGUUCCUGCUGUUCCAAAAGAGAGUCUCAGAGAUGAGAGCAAAAGGAUGGUGAUGGGACUGGAUCCUGACAAAUUCCCUUUGUUAAAUCCAAGUGGAAUGGAUACAUCAAUAUUUAAUGAUUUGGCAAUAAAAGUUAUUGAAAAUUUAGCUGGAUUUGACCCAUCAAAGAAAUACCAAGACCUAAAUUGGGGGAAAAAGAAUCCAGUAAAGAAGAAAGUAUCUGAUGCAUAUUCUCAGAAGUCUACUAGCAAGAGGUCAUCUCGGGAUGAAACCAAGCGAAAAAAAAGGUGAGACCUUGAAAAGGAAGAAUUCCACUUCAAAUAUUCCUAUGCAAAAAUUUACCUA